rnacentral:lncRNA from 1 species
CCCAUAUGGAGAUCUUGGAUUAGUUGUUGCCUUUCCUCUGUAUUUCUUUCUGUUAUUAUUACAAAUUUUGGUUCAAAGGGUGUGUGGGAUUAGGAAAGGGAACUCCCUUUUACGUUGCUCUUUACUUUGAUGAUGAAUGUCUUUUGCAUAACGGUCAUGAGAGAAGUAGAGAGUUACUGUGAAGGGCUUGCUUGUGGGGGGUGAAGAGGUGGAGGAUUUUUAUUUGUGAUUUUUAGAUGAUAUUAUUCUCAUUUUUCCUGAAAACGUUUUUUUCAGUGUCAUCUCUCUCUUGUAAAUUUUUGAAGUAGUCUCGGGUUCGACAAUCAAUUUCUUGAGAAGUGGCUAAAUGUGGUUGUUUCAUCCGAUUUAUCCCACAUUGCAGAUAAUAUUAAGGAGAAGGUGCUGUUUCCCCUUUCUCUUAAUAAAAAUUCUUUCUCUGUGAAAACAAAAUAUUGAGGGGAAUAU